AUAGAUGUUAUGCCACGCCCACCCAGGAUCAAAAGAAUUCUCUGAAAUAUGAAUUUAUAAAGAAAGGCUGCCCAAGUGACGUAACAGUGAAAUAUCAUUCAUCGCCUUCUUCUCGUGCUCAGCGGUUCAGCGUGGAAGCCUUUAAGUUCAUUAGUGCUCAUCCCUUUGUUUUCGUCCACUGCCAAGUGACUGUAUGCAGUACAACCAACCCAGGUUCCAAAUGCUCGAUGAAAUGUCCUUCAAGUGGCCGAGGAAAACGUGAGCUGAGUGAUAACGUGACUUACGACGUGUACUCUUUGGCGCAAGGACCCCUGCACCUGACGCACGAGAAAAGAAAGGAGAACCGCGGGAGAAUUCUGGAUUAGACUGGUUCCAGUCCUCACAUUCCGGAGGCUCUGUCCGCUGACAAUCAUCACAAGUAGCUUCAAACUCAUUUACACUUGGACUUGACCUGGACUUGAACCACUGAAGGAUGUUUGAGCUGGAUAUUCGUGUAAAGGGUGUUUCACAAGUUCGUGCCCAUUUUUCUAAAAGGCUAUAUCUUACUUAUUUUCGCAUUCUGGAAGCCGUAUCUUUAAAACAAUUACCUGAAUUUACUUACUUUUACAGAAAUAAUUUCUGUGGUGGCGAACCGACCAUUAAAAAGCACUCGCUUUUCACGUAAUUGUUUUUUUUCUUUUUCGUAAUUUUUAUAUUAUUACUUCAAGGUAACUGAAGAAACGUAUUUGUGCUAAAUCCUGUUAUCCUUCUACUUCUCUAGCUCAAGCAUACCUCUUAUUUUUAGACGCUGAAUAAUCUCAAAAACUGACGAAAAAAAUAUGCGGAACAACAUCAACAGCAAACAAAUGUAACUUACAAACAGUUUUGAUAUUUAAGUUCGGUUUUUGAGAUUACUCACUGAUCUAACUCAAACAGGACUGUCGAAAAGAUUUGAUUUAUGUAAGGGUGCCUGCGCCUAUAUUUUUCAGUUCUCCUUUUGUAGUACGGGAUGACAGAACUGGCUCUUCAAUCAGCUGUUAGUCGAAAAGGGAUUGUGACUGAAAGGAUUUUUAAACCCGUCUUUAGAGGAGCUAAGAUGGUUUAAAUACUUUUCUCUUUCAACGUUAAAAGGCGCGUUACAAGAGACGAUAACCACUGAAUGCUAGUUUGCCGAGUUAUAGAAAAACUCAGCAGCACUUUUCUAGGAAAUGAAGAUGGUUUAGGAUUGGCCAUCCUUAGAAGCAUUGCAGGUGAUCAAGUUAAGAAUUAAUAGUAUGACAUCUUACUAAUGAGCCAGCAGCUUUAAACGUUAAUGAUGCCGCAUAUAGUACUGUGAUGGGACGGCAAGCAGAAGGUUACUGGACACGAAGAAUUAGAACUUUCCUAUUAAGGCGCUAGCACAAGAAAAUAAUCCAAGAUUGAUUGAAGCUUCUGUUUUUGCCAGUCUUUGAAAAUUGAAAAAUAACUGCAUUAAGCUUUUGAGGUACGGGAUAUUGAAUCGAGGUUUUAAGUUUUACGGUAGUGAUGAAGAGUUAUUAAGGAACAUCAGCUGGUUGACAGAGCCUUUUUCUCAAGUUUAAUAUUUUAUUUUAAAGAAAUGGUGAAGGGAAAUGAUGUGGGUAUUAACUUACACAUAAAAACAGACAGUGCUCUUACAUACACGAGUGAUUGGAUGUUACGAGAGCAUAAGGUUGACCAUAAUGGAUAAGAUGUUUUCAUCUCGGAAACUCUCUGCUCAAGAUAUUUUUGAUGUGGUGUUCAGUUAAUACUUAGGUAUCCUGCUGGGGAGCUGUUGCUUGAAAGUAAAAUAAAUUGAAGAAACAGAAUUUUGCCCUCAUUUAUUAGAUCACAUUCAAGACGUAAAGUGACUCGUUGAGCCGUUGGGAAAAAAAAAAGCGGGAAAGGUUGAAUCAUUACCUUCGUCAUUGUCGUUAUCAUUUGUAAAUCAUUUGAGCUUUUCUCGUAAUUGGGAUAUAUUUCUUAACAUACAAUAGAGAUGUUAUCUCGCCAGCUUUAGGUUCAGCAAUCAUCAGCCUCAUUUCCUUGUUUACCUACCCACUUAGUUUUCCACUUAGUU